rnacentral:hammerhead_ribozyme from 1 species
AUCCAGCUGAUGAGUCCCAAAUAGGACGAAACGCGCGUUUCCUAGGU